AAUCAACGCUGGCGGCGUGCCUAACACAUGCAAGUCGCACGAGAAAGUGGAGCAAUCCAUGAGUACAGUGGCGCACGGGUGAGUAACACGUGAAUCAUCUACCUUCGAGUGGGGAAUAACUGGGAGAAAUCUCAGCUAAUACCGCAUAAUACCUACGGGUCAAAGUAGCAAUGCGCUUGAAGAGGAGUUCGCGGCAGAUUAGUUAGUUGGCGGGGUAAUGGCCCACCAAGACGAUGAUCUGUAUCCGGCCUGAGAGGGCGCACGGACACACUGGAACUGAAACACGGUCCAGACUCCUACGGGAGGCAGCAGUGGGGAAUUUUGCGCAAUGGGGGAAACCCUGACGCAGCAACGCCGCGUGGAGGAUGAAAUCCCUUGGGAUGUAAACUCCUUUCGAUGGGGAAGAUAA
rnacentral:rRNA from 1 species